AGUGGACGCUGGCGGUAGGCCUAACACAUGCAAGUCGAACGGCAGCACAGUAAGAGCUUGCUCUUACGGGUGGCGAGUGGCGGACGGGUGAGGAAUACAUCGGAAUCUACUUUUUCGUGGGGGAUAACGUAGGGAAACUUACGCUAAUACCGCAUACGACCUACGGGUGAAAGCAGGGGAUCUUCGGACCUUGCGCGAUUGAAUGAGCCGAUGUCGGAUUAGCUAGUUGGCGGGGUAAAGGCCCACCAAGGCGACGAUCCGUAGCUGGUCUGAGAGGAUGAUCAGCCACACUGGAACUGAGACACGGUCCAGACUCCUACGGGAGGCAGCAGUGGGGAAUAUUGGACAAUGGGCGCAAGCCUGAUCCAGCCAUACCGCGUGGGUGAAGAAGGCCUUCGGGUUGUAAAGCCCUUUUGUUGGGAAAGAAAAGCAGCGGGUUAAUACCCCGCUGUUCUGACGGUACCCAAAGAAUAAGCACCGGCUAACUUCGUG
rnacentral:rRNA from 1 species